rnacentral:rRNA from 1 species
UCCUACGGGGGGCAGCAGUAGGGAAUUUUCGUCAAUGGGCGCAAGCCUGAACGAGCAAUGCCGCGUGAACGAGGAAGGUCUUCGGAUCGUAAAGUUCUGUUGAAGGGGAAAAAGAGCGGAGAGAGGAAAUGGUCUCCGAUUGAUAUUACCCUUCGAGGAAGUCACGGCUAACUACGUGCCAGCAGCCGCGGUAAUACGUAGGUGGCGAGCGUUAUCCGGAAUGAUUGGGCGUAAAGGGUGCGUAUGCGGCCUGCUAAGUCUGGAGUGAAAGGUACCGGCUCAACCGGUACAGGCUCUGGAAACUG